rnacentral:rRNA from 1 species
UGCCAGCCGCCGCGGUAAUACGGAGGGUCCAAGCGUUAUCCGGAUUCAUUGGGUUUAAAGGGUGCGCAGGCGGGACAUUAAGUCAGUGGUGAAAUCUCUCAGCUUAACUGAGAAACUGCCAUUGAUACUGAUGUUCUUGAGUUUGAUUGAAGUAGGCGGAAUGAGGCAUGUAGCGGUGAAAUGCAUAGAUAUGCCUCAGAACACCGAUCGCGAAGGCAGCUUACUAAGUCAAUACUGACGCUGAGGCACGAAAGCGUGGGGAGCAAACAGGAUUAGAUA